rnacentral:rRNA from 1 species
GACGAACGCUGGCGGCGUGCUUAACACAUGCAAGUCGAGCGGUAAGGCCCUUCGGGGUACACGAGUGGCGAACGGGUGAGUAACACGUGGGUGAUCUGCCCUGCACUUCGGGAUAAGCCUGGGAAACUGGGUCUAAUACCGGAUAGGACCACUGCCUGCAUGGGCGGUGGUGGAAAGCUUUUGCGGUGUGGGAUGGGCCCGCGGCCUAUCAGCUUGUUGGUGGGGUGAUGGCCUACCAAGGCGACGACGGGUAGCCGGCCUGAGAGGGUGACCGGCCACACUGGGACUGAGAUACGGCCCAGACCCCGACGGGAGGCAGCAGUGGGGAAUAUUGCACAAUGGGCGCAAGCCUGAUGCAGCGACGCCGCGUGAGGGAUGACGGCCUUCGGGUUGUAAACCUCUUUCAGCACCGACGAAGCGCAAGUGACGGUAGGUGCAGAAGAAGGACCGGCCAACUACGUGCCAGCCGCCGCGGUAA